rnacentral:lncRNA from 1 species
GCUAGGACCCGAUCGUUAGAUAACAUAGGAGCACUUUAAACAAUAGAGAUAUAAGAAACAUUUUAACAUGGACAUUCAUUUGCAUUUGCAUAAUACAAGUAGAGCUCAAUAACUCAAAGCAUACUUUGGAAAAUAAAACCCACCUUGAUAGGACAAGCCUGUAGAUAAAAUUUGCACAAUUCUCUUCUUGUAAAACCAGUGCUAAAACCUUCUAACAAGUGGACCUACAAGAUAAUCUAAUCUUAAUAGGUCGCAAAGUAUCGUACGAGCUAACAAUUCUACAAAGCUGCUAAAUCUUAAUAUUCUACGCCCGGAUUUUCAAAACUCAAUUUAAAAUCUUAAAAAUCGAAAUUAUCAAAAUAUUUAUUAUUGCAUUAUUCACUAUGCAAAUUCAUAUCAUAUCUCAAAAUCACAUAAGGUAAAUAAUUAUACUUAAUAAAAUAAAUAGUCAUAUUAAUAUAUCAAUGGAUUAAGAACUUAACUAAAUAAUUUUAAGUAAAGCAUGAUUUAACAAAAAUUAAAUCAGCCCAACAUCUAAAAUAAAAAUGCAGCCCAAUACUUUUAUUAAAUCAAACCCAUCUUGAAUUUAAUAAAAAUGCAGUCCAAUACUUUUAUUAAAUCAAACCCAUCUUAAAUAGGCCCAAAAAUUUAAUAGUCCAAUACUAAAAACCCUAGCCCACAAGCCAUCUCCUUUAUUAAAAGAAAAAUCACACACACACACACACAACCCACACACGCACACACACAACACAGACGCACGCACACACACACACCCAGACGCACACACCCUCACUCUCUCUCCCUCUCACGCUACUGCCGCCGCUGCCCCUCUCUCUCUCUCCUCCGACUUCUCUCUCUUCUCCUCUCUCUCUCUCUUUUCCUCUCUCUCUCUCAUUUCCCCCAGCCCUCUCACUUCUCCUCUCAUCUCUCCCUCUUCUCCGUCGACGGCAGCGGAAGUCACCGCCGGCGCCGCGUCGACAGCAGCACGGCGGUAGCUGCCGCCUCCUCUUCCCCCGUCUCCCUCUCGACCGGUGUUGGGUAUCUUCGCCUAGCCAGGGUUACACCUCUUAAUUCCCGAACCUCCUGUCUUCCCCAUUCGUGCUCAAGCACUUGAAUCUUCUUCUGCUCUGGAUCUUCACUUCGCUGCUCUGGAGCGACUUCUCUGCUCUGGAGCGACUUCUUUGCUCUGGCAGCUUCGACUCCUCUGCUCUGGAGCGACUUAACUCCUCUGGCCCAAUACUCUUCCCUAGCCCAAAUCUGCAGCAACUGUCUUCGUCGUCCCUGCACGGAGCAGCGCCGGUGCCUCUUCUUUCCUCCAGAUCCGGCGACACCGUCGCCCUCGCUCCGUCCGACAACAACACAGCAGCAGCAGCAGCAGCGCCGGCGCCGUGGCCGACGCCUCCUUCUCCUGCCACGCCGAGCAGCCGAUGCUGCUCUCCUUCUCCGGCUACAAAUCGGCGCCCAACACCCCUCCCCAAAUCAUCUCAAAUCCCUCUAUCACAUUCUAGUCUUCUAUUUCAUUUUUUUUAUCGGAAAAAGGAAAUAAGAUUAAAGAAGGGGCCAAAGGUACCAGCAGUCUUCUAAUUCAUUUGAAAUGGUGAAGAGAAAUUUUUAAUCUUUUCUUAAAAAAAAUUCAAUCUUUCUUAUGCAAAAAUUCAGUCUUUUCUUAUGCAUUGGAAAAAAAAGCACUUGAGAAAUAUACUUACAGACUGUGUACUUUCUUGAAGGGAUGCUUGUGAUUUGAAUGAA